AACGGCCGUACCAUGCUGAAUAUACCGGUUCUCGUUAGAUCAGCGAAGUCAAGAAUCAUUGGGCGCGGUCAGUACUUGGGUGGGUGACCACCUGGGAACACCGCGUGCCGUU
rnacentral:rRNA from 1 species